AUACGGAGGGUGCAAGCGUUACUCGGAAUCACUGGGCGUAAAGGAUGCGUAGGCGGAUAAUCAAGUCAAAAGUGAAAUCCCACGGCUUAACCGUGGAACUGCUUUCGAAACUGGUUAUCUAGAAUAUGGAAGAGGCAGAUGGAAUUAGUGGUGUAGGGGUAAAAUCCGUAGAGAUCACUAGGAAUACCGAUUGCGAAGGCGAUCUGCUGGGACAUUAUUGACGCUGAGGCAUGAAAGCGUGGGGAGCAAACAGGAUUAGAAACCCGUGUAGUCC
rnacentral:rRNA from 1 species